UACGUAGGCAGCAAGCGUUGUUCGGAGUUACUGGGCGUAAAGGGUGUGUAGGCGGCUUCUCAAGUCGGGUGUGAAAUCCCAGGGCUCAACCCUGGAAGUGCAUUCGAAACUGGGUAGCUAGAGUACUGGAGAGGAAGGUGGAAUGCUUGGUGUAGAGGUGAAAUUCGUAGAUAUCAAGCGGAACACCGGUGGCGAAGGCGGCCUUCUGGACAGAUACUGACGCUGAGACACGAAAGCGUGGGGAGCAAACAGG
rnacentral:rRNA from 1 species